rnacentral:lncRNA from 11 species
GCUCAGCCAGCACAAGGGUUUAACCCAUUGCGCCACCGCAAUCCAGUGCUAACUGCAGGUAGACUUGCCUCCUGAAGGUAGGACUUAACUAUGAGUCAUUUGUAAGUCGGAUGUGUGUAACUUGCCUUGUAAUAUAGUAAUAUGAUGAUAAUGAUACUAUGUGAAGCACAUUGUUGGCAUUCAUGAAUAGAAAUUAUAAACAUUAACAAGAAACAUAUUGUCUGGGAUUUUUCAGAAACAUCCUACCAAAUAUUCAACUGCUUCAUUUAUGCUGAAAUGACUAAUAAACAGAGAUGACAUCUCUUGGACCUGUUGCUAGAAGAAGACUGGUUUACCUUCUUAGUUGACAGCAAAUUAUUUUCAAAGGUCAAAAUCUCUGUUGCAGAGGAGAUGGGAGAACAGAAAUCAAAGAAGAGUUUGUUUGUUUGUUUGUUUUUUAAAAAAAGACAAACAAAUAGGGAGGCUGUGAGGGGAGAGAGGCCAUCCAUUCAAGAUCUCUUCUACCUGUGACCUUUAAAGAUGGGAUAGAGACAUGCAGGAAGCAUGUGCAAUUUAUGCAGGCCUAAGGAAGAAAAAUGAUUUUGAAAGUAUAUGGAAGAAAUUUAUCGAAGAAACAUUAAGGAGAGAAGAUGGGAAUCAACCCUCACCAGAAGAAAUGAGGUUCUGGAUGGACUAUAAAGAAAUGGACUCCAGUGAUGGGGAGCACAACAGGUAGAACACUGGGGAAAGGAAAAGAUUCUUCUUUCCUUUGCAACAAAAGGAAUAGUAAUGUAAUAAAAAAAUAUUUUUAAAAAAAGGUAUGUGUGUCUAUUAGUCAGGCUGCCAUGCCAUAUAUCUUUCUUCUUGGUACAGAAGGGAAGAAGAAAACUGUGAAUUGAACCUUCACAAGGUAUGGAAAAAAGAAAAAUUUCUAUCAGUAAUAUCUGGAGGGCAUGUCACUUCUUUUUAGAUUUAACCUUUCCCACAUGCUUUGGGACAAAGUCUUUCCCACCUGUUAUGGUGAAAACAACACCAAGCUCUCAGUCCUUGUGACCAGAUGAAGUCAGUGGCCAAGGUGCAUAUUAG